rnacentral:lncRNA from 1 species
CAAGGAGUAACUGCGUGUUUUAACAGCAAGAAAAAAUAAUUUGUACACAAUGUUACUUUUCCUGAUAAAUAGCCACUGGUUGUAAUCAGUUAGGAUUUAUUUUUAUUUUAAAUUCACUAUCAGGUUUGGCAAAUACGUGUAGACCUACAUUUAUUAAAUCAUGAUGGAAAUAUUAUUGAUGCUGCCAGCAUUGCUGCAAUCGUGGCCUUAUGUCAUUUCCGAAGACCUGAUGUCUCUGUCCAAGGAGAUGAAGUAACACUGUAUACACCUGAAGAGCGUGAUCCUGUACCAUUAAGUAUCCACCACAUGCCCAUUUGUGUCAGUUUUGCCUUUUUCCAGCAAGGGUAAGCCUCGCCUUAUUAUGGGCCAAAAUUACAAAUGCAGCUAGGAAUUUUAUUGCUCUACUCAAGUAUGUCAUGUUAAUAUUAAACAAACACUUCCCUUAAUAGUAAAGCACCUUGUAUUUCCUUUCUUUCUUUGUAAGGGCAUUAGUUGGCAAAGAACUUUCUCAGUAGAAGUAACAAAACUCUUAUACUUUGAUGAAGAUACUUCCCAACAUUUUUCUUUUCAUGGGAUACUUAUAAACUUAG